AGCCUAGUGGUUCAAUGGUAAAACUCUCGUCGCGGAGCCAGAGAGUUUUGGGUUCGAUCUCCAACAGGGUUG
rnacentral:tRNA from 1 species